rnacentral:sRNA from 1 species
AUGAAGAUGUAUAUCUAUAAUGUGGCCUUUGUCAUGAUUUUGGAGGAUGGGUGUAUUCGAAUCCAAUGAGGGGUAGGGUAUGACUCAUUAUCAUGUGCCAUGAUUUUGUCUUCCUUUAGCUUUUUUUUUUUACUUUGCUUUACCAUUUUUGCUUUCCUUUAGUCUUCCUUUAGCUUUUCUUCAAUAUAACACCAUUUUCUGUGGCUCAGAUCGCAAAACCAUCUUCAUGAAAGUUGUUCCUUAGCUCGUGAACUACAACAUAUCCGAAUUGGAGAUCCAUCGGAGCAGUACAACUCCAGAAAUUCAGAUCAACAUACUUUCUUCAUCGAAGUUGUUCCUUAACUUGUGAACUACAACAUAUCCAAAUUUGAGGUCCCUCGGAGCAGUAUAACUCCAGAAAUCCA